rnacentral:rRNA from 1 species
UACGUAGGGUGCAAGCGUUGUCCGGAAUUAUUGGGCGUAAAGAGCUCGUAGGCGGUCUGUCGCGUCUGCUGUGAAAACUCGGGGCUUAACCCCGGGCCUGCAGUGGGUACGGGCAGACUAGAGUGCGGUAGGGGAGACUGGAAUUCCUGGUGUAGCGGUGGAAUGCGCAGAUAUCAGGAGGAACACCGGUGGCGAAGGCGGGUUUCUGGGCAGUAACUGACGCUGAGGAGCGAAAGCGUGGGGAGCGAACAGG